rnacentral:rRNA from 1 species
AUGACGGUGGGGAUGAUCAACGCGAACCCGGUGGUGCACGAGCGGCCGGAGCGCGCCGCCCACCCCGCGCACGCGGCGCUCGACGCGCUCGACGUCUUCGAUACGGUGCGGGACAUCAAGGACCCGGAGCACCCCUACUCGCUGGAGCAGCUCAGCGUGCUCUCCCAGGAGUCCGUCUCCGUCGACGACAAGCUCGGCCACAUCCAGAUAACCUUCACCCCAACUGUGCAACACUGCACUAUGGCCACAGUGAUUGGCCUGUGCCUCAGGCUUAAGUUGAUGCAAAACUUUCCUCCGCAUUUCAAGAUUGACAUAAAAGUUGCUCCAGGAUCUCUUGCUAAUGAAGAAUCAGUAAACAAACAGCUGAACGACAAGGAGAGAGUCGCGGCGGCCUUGGAGAACCCCAACCUCCGGCAGUUGGUGGACGAUUGCCUCUGCUCAGAUCAUCCAUCCUCAUAUUAG